CCUGGAUGCUUCUGAGUUUGCUCAACCUCAUCCUUACCCCCGGCUUCUCUCCCCAGGUCCUGUCCCAUCCCACUGAAAAGCUUUGCUCAGCACUACGCCCAGAAGGCGGCCAAGUCCCAUGUGGGCUUCCUGAGAGAGUACGAGACCCUCCUAGAGGUUGUCAAGGAGGAAGCCAGCUCUGCAACACCAUCUUCAGGCAACCAGCAGACACGGCCCUCUUCUGGCAUCCUCCCGUGUAAGUGCUGUGAUGCCUUGCAUCCUUUUCCUUCCUGAACCUGCAUGGAGCUAGGCUGGACCAGGGCUGGUGCUCCACAGUACAAGAAUAUAUUUCGACACACUGCAGUGAGUCCACCAGAAGGUGUUUCGGGGGUGGAACACAUGAUGUAUGGGACUGAGAUAGGUGGGUUUGUUCAGCCUGGAGGAGAGAAGGUGAAGGGGAGAUCUUCCUGCUAUCUUCAACUACCUGCUGGGAUGGCACAGAGAAAAUGUAGAGUCUUCUCAGAGGUGCACCAUGGAAGGGCAAGAGACAAUGGGUAUGAUUUGGAAGGGUAAUCCAACUCAGUGUAAGGAAAAAUGCAUUCCCAUGAAGGUGGCCAAACACCAGAACAGGGGCCCAGAGCAUCUGCAGGCUCUCCAUCCUUGGAGAUAUGCAGCUCGCCAUUGCCUAAGACACUGAGCAACCUGCACUACACGUAUCUGGUUUGAGCAGGAGGUUGGGACAGAGACCUGUCUUUUGGGGACCAACAUCCAUGAGCUGCAGAAGAGCACUGCAGAGGGGAGCACCUUUGCAGAGAAAUGGUGAAUGGGGGGUUGGAUUUGUGUGGCUGUGCGGAGUCUGGCAGGUGGUCUGCAGGAGCUGUGUGAGCACAAGGCUGCCGUGGAUCCCUCCACCUCCCACAUAUUUUGCAGAUGAUCGCUCCAGAGUGAAAUUUUCCCUGCUGGAACAGGGCCCUUUCUCAGAUCUCCUACAGGUGUGGCAUGUCCCGGGCUGCAGCUCCAGCAGGGAGUAUCUGGCUGUCCAGGGGCCUGACAAGUUGACCAUGGAGGACUUCUGGACCCUGGUGUGGGAACAGGACAUUCACACCAUCCUAACACUUCUCCCAUGGCAGGAGAAGGGGGAGGUGAGGUGCCGUGCCUGCCUGUGCCAUGGCAAAGCAGGGAUCUGUUUAAUGGAGUUGGAAGCUAGCAUAGCUCUGAAACUUGAACUCUUUUCACUGCAUCCUGAAGCCUGGGUGCAGAUCCAGCUUAGCUAAAGGUGAACCUUCCCUGUGUCAAAGUGCUCCCACAGCUUGUCGCAGGAGACAGGUUCUGUCUGCCCACCAUGCAGUCCAUGGCUCUGGACUCAGCUGGUACUCUUCAAGCUACAUCUCCAUGGCACCCAAGGACAGCAGUUCCUGCC
rnacentral:lncRNA from 1 species